ACUGGAUGAGGUAAGCACACCUGUAAUUCUUGCUGCUGGGGAGGCUGAGGCUGGGAGAUUUCUUGAGUUUAGGGGUUACAAACUUCAGUGGGCUAAAUCAGUUGAGUGUCUGCACUAAGUCUGGCAUCACUAUGGGGAGGCUUGAGGACUGGGGAAACACUAGGUUGCCUAAAGAGGGCCAAACAGGCCCAGUUUGGAAACAAAGUGGGUCAAAUCUCCCAUGAUAAUUACUAGUACAAUUGGGCCCACGAGUAGCCCCUGCAUUUGCAGCCUGGGGAAGAUAUGGAGGGCCAAUGUUU
rnacentral:SRP_RNA from 1 species